UACGUAGGGUGCAAGCGUUGUCCGGAAUCAUUGGGCGUAAAGAGCGUGUAGGCGGUCCGGUAAGUCCGCUGUGAAAGUCGGGGGCUCAACCCUCGGAUGCCGGUGGAUACUGUCGGGCUUGAGUACGGAAGAGGCGAGUGGAAUUCCUGGUGUAGCGGUGAAAUGCGCAGAUAUCAGGAGGAACACCAAUUGCGAAGGCAGCUCGCUGGGACGUUACUGACGCUGAGACGCGAAAGCGUGGGGAGCAAACAGG
rnacentral:rRNA from 1 species